rnacentral:lncRNA from 1 species
GGGAAACCAAAGCUUCACUAGGAUUCCUAUACGCAAGAUAUACCGCUAAGGUAAGACAAGGUUAGCAGGACCUCCCGUCGUGUCGACGACCCUGAUAAGAGCCGCGUAUCUCAGUCUCAGGACAUGACGGAUGAGCUAGACGUCGGGAUGGCUAAACCUCUAGGUGACCAGUGGGGCCCCGGACAUCGCUCAGGUGGGACCAACACUCAUGAGGAGCACUGGCCCGGGUUGUUGAUUAAAUUCCUCGGGGUAGCUAUUCCCUAUGCAGAUUAUUAUGUGAUUAGCAGAUUAACACCAAUGUUGGGUCCUGCCGGACAAGCCUUAGCACUACGCGAUUUAUCAAGGGGGUCCCCAUAACAACCCCAAACGUGUUAGGAGCGAUCAUUAUGG